rnacentral:rRNA from 1 species
AGAACGAACGCUGGCGGCAGGCCUAAAAACAUGCAAGUCGAACGCUCUAGCAAUAGAGAGUGGCGCACGGGUGCGUAACAUGUGGGAAUAUGCCUUUUGGUACGGAACAACUUUUGGAAACGAAAGCUAAUACCGUAUGGUCCCUUCGGGGUAAAGAUUUAUCGCCAAAAGAGUAGCCCGCACUGGAUUAGCUAGUUGGUAAGGUAAUGGCUUACCAAGGCGACGAUCCAUAGCUGGUCUGAGAGGACGAUCAGCCACACUGGGACUGAGACACGGCCCAGACUCCUACGGGAGGCAGCAGUUAGGAAUCUUGGACAAUGGGCGCAAGCCUGAUCCAGCCAUGCCGCGUGAGUGAUGAAGGCCUUCGGGUUGUAAAGCUCUUUAGUCCACGAAUAUAAUGACUGUAGUGAAGAAUAGCCCCGGCUACUUCGCGCCAGCAGCCGC